rnacentral:rRNA from 1 species
GAUGAACGCUGGCGGCGUGCCUAAUACAUGCAAGUCGAGCGAACGGACGAGAAGCUUGCUUCUCUGAUGUUAGCGGCGGACGGGUGAGUAACACGUGGAUAACCUACCUAUAAUACUGGGAUAACUUCGUGAAACCGGAGCUAAUACCGGAUGAUAUUUUGAACCGCAUGGUUCAAAAGUGAAAGACGGUCUUGCUGUCACUUAUAGAUGGAUCCGCGCUGCAUUAGCUAGUUGGUAAGGUAACGGCUUACCAAGGCAACGAUGCAUAGCCGAUCUGAGAGGAUGAUCAGCCACACUGGAACUGAGACACGGUCCAGACUCCUACGGGAGGCAGCAGUAGGGAAUAUUCGGCAAUGGGCGAAAGCCUGAUCGAGCAAUGCCGCGUGAGUGAUGAAGGUCUUCGGAUUGUAAAACUCUUUUAUUGGGGAAGAACAUAUGCGUAAGUAAACGUCCACAUCCUGACGGUACCCAAUCAGAAAGCAACGGCUAACUACGUG